CGCUCUCUGCUCUUUCGCUCCCCUUUCUCUGUGCCUUAUUCCGAAAAGGGAAGAAGGGAAAGCUGAGAGGACUCUCCCUUCUCCGACGAACUUUUAGGAGAUUCUUCCAUCUUCACCAACCGAGUACACCAGAUCGUAUCCUUUGAUCAGUGCCCGAUCUCUCUGAAAGCUCCGGUCUUUCUGCUGCUGCAUCGAGUGACAUAAGUUUCUCAUUCAGUGAUAGAAAUGCCAAAGGAAAGAAGAGAUCGCUCUUUGUCAUUCGAUAGGUCAAGGGUUUCUCCUUUCUCUUGCAGUUCCAGCAGUGUCCGGCGCUCUACAUCCAGAAACCCUCCAGAAGCUGCAGAAGAUGUGAAAGAAUGGGAAGAGGCCAGGUGCCCUGUGUGCAUGGAACACCCCCACAAUGCCGUCCUCCUCCUCUGCUCUUCCCAUGACAAGGGAUGCCGCCCUUACAUGUGUGACACAAGCUACCGCCACUCCAACUGCCUUGACCAAUUCCGUAAGGCAUUCACUGAACCCAAAUCCACCCCUACUGUGGAAGAAUCCCCGUUAGUGAGCACCAUAACAGACACAACGAGCCCAGAAGAACAAAAUAUGGAGCCACACCAUGAAGGUGAAGAACAUGCAUUGCACAGCAUGCCUUGUGAGUGCAGCGAGCAACUGAAGCUUUCGUGUCCUCUCUGCCGGGGACAGAUAAAUGGGUGGAAACCAGUGGAGUCUGCCCGCCGGUUCAUGAAUGCCAAGACAAGGAGCUGCGCACAGGAGUCCUGUACGUUCAGUGGUACAUAUGCUGACCUCCGGAAGCAUGCGAGGCUCGAGCACCCAAUGGCACGGCCAUCGGAGGUGGACCCGGAACGGCAGCGGGACUGGAGGAGGUUGGAGCGUCAGCGUGAUCUUGGUGACGUGCUGAGCACGUUCCAGUCAGCAUUUGGGGAGGAGAGGGAUGAGGAAAGUCUGUAUGAUGGGAAUUGGUUGACUGUCUUUCUUCUCAUCCGGGUUUUCCCAUCGGGUUCCAAUACAAGAACCAGCUGGUCGGUCCCAUCAAGGUUCAGGGGGCUAUCAAGGAGCCGGAGGAGAACAACACUAUGGGGUGAUAGCUAUGACGGUGAGCCUGCAAGAGAUGAUGACUCUGUCUCUGAAGGGGUGACGGCUUCAUGGCGCCGCCAUGAGAGGAGUCAGCGACGUACAACGCCAGAUGAUGAUGAUGAUGAUGAACAGUGAAUGCAGCAAAUGAGUUCAGUCGAUGGGGCUGGUUAGUGCCAUGAAUCUCUGGUUCAAAAGUGAUUCAUGCCAUUGGUCUGACGUGUCCAUUCUGGUUGGGUUCAAGGUUUGGUGAUUCUGGUCUGACAUGUCCACCAUGGACUGACUUGGCCCCACAAUCUACUUGGUAGGACAACCUCAGGCAUUAUACUCUGCCUCAAGGGUGAUUAGUUUAUGCAUGUGAAAAAUGUUCACCAUUUGAAGUCAUUGUAGUCUCUUGUAUGUUUCCUGUGUUCCCCGAACUUUGGAUGUACAUGGGCAGGCCCAGCCCAGCAGCUUUUGGGGGAGCCUUUUGCACUUGUUCAGAUGUUGAACAAUGUUAACUGCUAGAAGAUUUCUUUUAACCAUCACUUUGCAGGCCACCAGCCCCAGUAGCUGGUCCAUCAAAAUCUACCGACCAUUUGUAGAACUUUGAAAUUGGUAGAAUGUAAUGGCUGCCCUCAUCCAGUCUC